rnacentral:tRNA from 1 species
UGAUCGGUCCGAAGUCGAUCUUGGGCCACUCGCUAGAAAGCCGAGCAUUCUACCACUGAACAACCUACC